rnacentral:rRNA from 1 species
AUGUGGCUCGGAAGGCCAUGGAUCCAGGGGUUGCAAGAGGCCGCGCGGCCCGUCCUCGGAGGUGGAGCUCCGGCGGCUUGCCAUCGCCAUGGUCGCCGUAGGCAGGCGGGUGGCCAGCGUUGCGAGGGCAGUGCCCUACCGCCACCGCCCCCCUCUACGGCGGUGACCGCGCCUGCAAACCCAUGGCCUCACCUUGCCACCCCGUGCCCUUUGCCUCCGGCUUCGAGGCUGGCGCUACCGUUGGACACGGCCAUGGACCCGGCUGACCUGUGCGUGGUGCGGUGGAGUCAGGCCAUGGAGGAUCUGGAGAGGCGGCUUCAGCAGGCUAUGGUGGUGUACGCAGCAGGCGCUCGCCGGGACCUCCCGCCGGAGUUCAUCCUCGAGGCACUCACCGUCAAGGCGGGGAUUGCAUCAGAGUUCGUCUCCAUCCAUCACUACAGGCCGGAGGACUACCUCAUCGUCUUCGCGUGCCGUGAUCACAGGAACAGAGUGAGCGAGAUGCCAGUGUUCGAGCAUCGUGGAGUUCGGCUCUUCUUCAGGCCCUGGAACCGCCAAUCCCAAGCUGUGCAUGCCGCAUUCCAGUUCAGGGUCAAGCUAGUGCUUGAGGGAAUCCCUCCCCACGCCUAG